GGAGAGAUGCCGGAGCGGCUGAACGGGACGGUCUCGAAAACCGUUGAAGGAGCAAUCCUUCCGAGGGUUCAAAUCCCUCUCUCUCCGCCA
rnacentral:tRNA from 1 species